GUCAGAUAACACUAGGUGCAGAUGUGUUAUUGAAGGAAACCAAAACAUCUUUGUGUUACCUUUAAGUCUGGUUUCCAGAGGGCUCUUCGACAGCCAGCACACAGCAUUACAAUAGGUUUGGAAUGUUAUCCGGUCUUCAUCUGUAAGAGGAACUUGAUCCAGCAACUGAAAUAAAGAAGUAGCACCAGCCAAUUUGCUGCAGUAAAAUGCAACAUCUAUCAGUGACCACGAUGAAGACAUGCUGCUAGUCUAUGUUUGCUUCAUAUUCUAUGCCGUAUAGAAAGAGCACCUCAGAAAGAAUCUCAUUAAAGGAGGUGGAACAAAUUGUCAAUACACCACGGGUGCUAUAUAGAAUAAAUAUAAUAAUAUGUGCUAAGAGUGA